AAGUCGUAACAAGGUUUCCGUAGGUGAACCUGCGGAAGGAUCAUUAACACGUAUCCAACGUUAAACCCCCCGUGCACACAGCGACCUGCUCCCCUCAAUUUCGGUCUUUUGGCAAUCCCUGGUAAAUCAUCGCCGAACAGUUUUGAUUCAGGGACAUCCAAAGGGCCGGGGUAGGGUAUUAAAGUAGUAGUCAAUGCAAAGCAACCUGGUUUCUUUGAAGCAGAAAGUGUGAUGGCGUGAGCCGGAGAACGGACCGAGUGGUAGUUCACAGGUGCCUUCUGUCGCGCACUGUGGAAAGGAAGACGGUCAGUGACCGGUUCCUGGUCCUAGACCCCAUAUUCACCACAGUCGCAGACGAGGUAGGGAUACGUCCCUACCACCAAAUAAAUACUUGAACAACUGUUAACAAUGGAUAUCUUGGUUCUC
rnacentral:misc_RNA from 1 species